GAUGAAGAACGCAGCGAAAUGCGAUAAGUAAUGAAUUGCAGAAUUCAGUGAAUCAUCGAAUCUUUGAACGCACAUUGCGCCCGCCAGUAUUCUGGCGGGCAUGCCUGUCCGAGCGUCAUUUCAACCAUCAAGCCCCGGGCUUGUGUUGGGGACCUGCGUCCGACGCAGGCCCUGAAAACCAGUGGCGGGCUCGCUGUCCACACCGAGCGUAGUAACUAACCUCGCUAUGGAGUGGCGCGGGCGCCUGCCGUAAAACCCCCAAUUUCACAAGGUUGACCUCGGAUCAGGUAGGAAUACCCGCUGAACUUAAGCAUAUCAAUAAGCGGAGGA
rnacentral:misc_RNA from 1 species